GCUGCUCGGCGCCCGGGACCCCUCGGCAGUGUCUUGUCUCAGCGUUUGGCGUCUUGGGGCUCCGGACCGCUUGACGGUGGGACCCCAGCAAGGUGCUUGGCGUCUCUGAGCCUCAUCUUUCGCUUCUGUAGAAUGGAAUAUGACCCAUUGCACCCUCACGGGAUUACCAGACGCAGAGCAUCCGUUGGUCCCGUGAGGUAAAAACGUUGUCAUCCUCGCUUUCCACGCGGGAAAACAUGGCACGGCAAAGCGAGAGACACCCCCCACCCUUCCCUGGUGACGCUUUUUGCCCGCGGACCUCCAGGGACAGAGCUUCCAGUGGAGGACCCACCACAGAAAGCCAGAUGCGCCUACCUAACCCAUCACAUGUAGUUCAGCUGCCUCCAGUUUCCUAGGCAACAGCUUCACAUCAGGGCUCACUAGAGUCCCUGCGCCCCAUGGCUAAGCCCUUUCCACUCUUCUGCCUGCCUUUGAAUCUCUGCCAAACAAGUGACAGUAACCAACACCCUUUGCAAAGCAAGUUCUGAGCAUUUAUUUCAACCUUUGUCUCCUCAUUAUUGAGUUAUAGGAUUUCCUUGUACAUUUUGAAGGGCACAGCAACAAGGUACCAUAUUGGAAGCUAAGACCUCACCAGACACUGGACCUGAUGUCUUUAUCUUGGACUUUCCAGCCAGAACUUUGGGAAAUAAAUUUUUGUUCUUUAUAAAUUA